rnacentral:ncRNA from 1 species
AAAUAGUUUUAUUUUGGCUAAAAGAUUUGUUAUUAGUUUAUUUUAUAUGUAAAGUUUUUUAUGAAUAUUUUAUUUUUCUUAAUGAAAAUAAAUUUUUAUUUAUUCGCAGUAAUUAAUUUUAUUUUUUAAAGAAAUUUAGAAAUAGUAAUAUUAUUAUUUAAUAUUGGUUAAAUUUGUGCCAGCAACCGCGGUUAUACAAAAAAUAUAAAUAAAUUUUAUUAGAAAAAGUUAAAUUGUUUUUAUAAAAUUAAAAUAUAAGUUUAUUAAGUGAAAUUUUAAAUUUAUUUAUUAUUAUAUAUUAAAUGAUAUUGAAACUUGAAAAUUUUAAUUAAAAACUAGGAUUAGAUACCCUAUUAUUUAAAAUAUAAAUUUAAUUUCUAAAGUAGUAAUAGUUAUGUUCUUAAAACUUAAAAAAUUUGGCGGUAUUUUAUUCUAUUCAGAGGAACCUGUUUUUUAAUCGAUAAUCCACGAUGGACCUUACUUAAUUUUGAAAUUCAGUUUAUAUAUCGCCGUUAUUAAAUAUUUUAUAAGAAUUAAAUAAUUUUUAAUAUAUUAAAUUAAAUUUAAUGUCAGGUCAAGGUGUAGCUUAUAAUUAAGUAAUUUAUGGGUUACAAUAAAUUUAUUUUUAUGGAUAUUAAAAUGAAAUUUUUAAUUGAAAUUGGAUUUGGUAGUAAAUUUUUAAAGAUAAAAAAAUUGAUUUUUAGCUCUAAAAUAUGCACACAUCGCCCGUCGCUCUUGUUAAUUUAAUAUAAGAUAAGUCGUAACAUAGUAGAUGUACUGGAAAGUGUUUCUAGAAUGAC